rnacentral:lncRNA from 1 species
CUUAUAGAGCACUGGGUGCAGGAAGCUGACUCUCUGGUAGAGAUUCACAGGCAGGAAGUUUAUUCAGAGUGCUCUGGGGCAACACCUGUGAGGGAAUACAGGCAGUAAAACAGGGCAGAGGGAGAGGCUGAAUUCUGAUGCAGCUGCAAACAAAAGCCUGACUGAUCCAGGAGGAUGCUCUGCAACGGGGCUGGGCGUUCAAAGUGGAUCCAAGCCGGGUGAAAUAGUUCUCCUCAGCCACAGGCAAUCCCGAAGAGGGUCUCAGCUGAGCACUGUCAGCUGCCAACAUUACCAGCAGCUGAAGAAGGAAGUCCUUCCCUCCUGGAAGCGGGUGGAGGGAGUGUUGUAGAUCUGGGCUGCCUGACAACAUCUUCUGCAUUGCUCAGGGCGUGUUUCCCACUCAACUCUCAGUGAAAAGGACUACAGAGAGUGUUCUGAGGUUGCUGAUCAGCAAGACAGUGAUGAAUAAACUCAAAGGAAAGGAAAAUCAUUUGGCAACCGGAAGGUGUGGGAGGAUAGCUGUAAAUGAAACUGACGGCAAAAAACAGAGCAGAGAAGUUUAAAGAAAAAAAAUAACAGCAUUCCUGGUGAUGCCCCAUUGGGCCAAUGAAACAAACACAUUCUGAAGCCUUUCCUAACCAGGAGCCAACCAAUCUCAUCACUGUGAAGCCAGAAAACCCUAUCUAUUGAAGAUGACUGCUUUCUUCUACUGUAGCUGGCAAUUUUAUGAAAUGAAGAAAAUUUGCUCUAGUUGCAAGUGACACACACCUCUUAAAUGUCUGCUAUCAAUUAAAAGUAAAAUACUGGUUACUUGCAACUAUCAAUUAGAUACAAUGCACUCCAGGAGAUCAGGAGCCUUGGCAUUCAGACAUAGGAGCAUUUUUUUGGCUUUGCCAUUUACUUGCA